GACGAACGCUGGCGGCGUGCUUAACACAUGCAAGUCGAGCGGUAAGGCCCUUUCGGGGGUACGACGAGCGGCGAACGGGUGAGUAACACGUGGGUGACCUGCCCUCAGCUCUGGGAGUAAAGCCCGGGAAACCGUAGGGUCUAAUACUGGAUAUUACUCUGCGGUGCAUGCCGUGGGGUGGAAAGCCUUGUGCGGCUGGGGAGU
rnacentral:rRNA from 1 species